rnacentral:lncRNA from 1 species
AUGCAGUGUUCCAGGUCUGGGAAAAUGCCUGCAGCUAUUCCUGGUGUCUUUCCUUCAAAGCAUCUCCAAGCCUGUCCACAAGUUAGCUCCAGGGCUUGGGAGAAACUAAGUGCUCUCCCUCAGCCUGGGCUGCUCAGAUCCUCAGUGGAAAGGAUCUACAGUGGCUACAAUAACCAAGUGCUACAAAAAUGCUGUGACAAGGAAUCUGAACAACAGAGAUUUGAGGGAAACAAAGCACUUUCGACGAAGGUCCUGCUGCUUGUCUUCAGCUCGGUACCAAUUAGAGCUUCACUGGAGGUGAAAAAUGGAAUCUCGCUCUGUCUCCCGGGCUGGAGUGCAGCGGCGCAAUCUCAGCUCACUGCAAGCUCCGCCUCCCGGGUUUACGCCAUUCUCCUGCCUCAGCCUCUCGAGUACCUGGGACUUCAGGCGACCGCCACCACGCCCGGCUAA